rnacentral:rRNA from 1 species
GACAGAGGGUGCAAACGUUGUUCGGAAUUACUGGGCGUAAAGCGCGUGUAGGCGGCUCUGUAAGUCGGGUGUGAAAUCCCACGGCUCAACCGUGGAAGUGCACUCGAAACUACAGGGCUAGAGUCCUGGAGAGGAAGGUGGAAUGCUUGGUGUAGAGGUGAAAUUCGUAGAUAUCAAGCGGAACACCGGUGGCGAAGGCGGCCUUCUGGACAGUGACUGACGCUGAGACGGCGAAAAGCGUGGGGAGACCAAACAGGAUUCAGAAACCCGG